GAUCUUCCCCUCGGACCUUGAAAAUCCGGGCGAGGGCCACGAGGAACACCGCGCCGGCUCGUACCCAUAUCCGCAGCAGGUCUCCAAGGUGAAUAGCCUCUAGUCGAUAGAAUAAUGUAGGUAAGGGAAGUCGGCAAACCCGAUCUGUAACUUCGGGAUAAGGAUUGGCUCUGAGGAUCGUGGCGCGCCGGGCUUGGUCGGGAAGUGGAGCGGUGCCAACGUGCCGGGCCUGGGCGAGGUGAAGGGCGCUCGUCGUCCGGACCCUAGCUCGGUCCCGUGCCUUGGCCACCCACGGACCUUCCUUGCUGCGAGCCUCCCGGCUGUCUAGUUUUCGGCUCAGCCGGAGGACGGGCCGGAAGGCUCUUCGGCCGCCAUAGAACGAUCAACUUAGAACUGGCACGGACCAGGGGAAUCCGACUGUCUAAUUAAAACAAAGCAUUGCGAUGGCCCUAAGGGGUGAUGACGCAAUGUGAAAUUUGCCCAGUGCUCUGAAUGUCAACGUGAAGAAAUUCAAGCAAGCGCGGG
rnacentral:rRNA from 1 species